rnacentral:rRNA from 1 species
UACGAAGGGGGCGAGCGUUGUUCGGAGUUACUGGGCGUAAAGGGCGCGUAGGCGGCGAUCCAAGUUAGGCGUGAAAGCCCCGGGCUUAACCUGGGAAUUGCGCUUAAGACUGGACUGCUUGAGUGCGGGAGAGGUGAGUGGAAUUCCCAGUGUAGAGGUGAAAUUCGUAGAUAUUAGCUAGAACACCAGUGGCGAAGGCGGCCAACUGGUCCGGUACUGACUCUGAGGUGCGAAAGCGUGGGGAGCAAACAGG